UACGUAGGGCGCAAGCGUUGUCCGGAAUUAUUGGGCGUAAAGAGCUCGUAGGUGGUUUGUUACGUCUGCUGUGAAAACCUAGGGCUUAACCCUGGGCCUGCAGUGGAUACGGGCAGACUAGAGGUAGGUAGGGGAGAAUGGAAUUCCCGGUGUAGCGGUGAAAUGCGCAGAUAUCGGGAGGAACACCGGUGGCGAAGGCGGUUCUCUGGGCCUUACCUGACACUGAGGAGCGAAAGCGUGGGGAGCAAACAGG
rnacentral:rRNA from 1 species